rnacentral:rRNA from 1 species
AUGGAACCGGAUGAAGAAGGGGGUCACCCCGGCCUCGACCUUUCGUCCUUUGACCCCGCUUGCCCGACCCCAAGUUCCAGGACUUCACUUCAAAAAGUUUGUUCAAUUAUAUCUACAUUUAACGAUAUUAAAUGCAGACUUGUAGUAGAAAUUGGUUUUGGUGGCAUGUUGCGUCUGCCCGCUAUUUCUAAGCUCAAUUUGAAAUUCAGCACAUGGCUCAUGAGCAUGGUAGAUGGGCCCAACAGAUGCAUCAAACUAUCUCAUGAUAGAUCCAUUAGUUUCUGGCCAGGGGAUAUCCACAAAGUUUUCGGUAUCCCAUGUGACAACCUAGACAUACAAAUCAUUGAAUAUCAACAAGCAGAAAGUUCAGUUCAGUUUUUUAGAUCUGUCUUGGGUAUGCCUGAGAAGGGGAAUCAAGUGCUCAAAUGUGUUGAAUUAGUUAUAAUGAAAGAUCUAAAUGAAUCAACUGCCAUCAAUUUAGAGAUUGACUGUUUCAAUAUGGCUUUCGUGAUCUUUUGCAUGGGCCACAUCCUGACCCCGUCCAGUAAGCACGACCAUGCCAUCAUAGAUUACUGGUCAGCUAUCGCAAACACAGAUAAAAUUACAGAUUUCAACUUCUAUGAUUAUGUGUUUGCUGAUUUACUGGCGGCUUGCUGGAAAGUAAAGCAAGACAUUCAAAACAAUAGACCAGUUACUCACUUGAUGGGAUGCCACCUUUUUUUCCAGAUCUUCUAUCUUGACAACCUAGACCUUGGCAUGCUAAACCUGCCUCACAAUUCGUACCCACGCAUAUCCAGCUUCGAUGAAUCGAGGAUCAGGAAG